CCUACGGGUGGCAGCAGUGAGGAAUAUUGGUCAAUGGACGAGAGUCUGAACCAGCCAAGUAGCGUGAAGGAUGACUGCCCUAUGGGUUGUAAACUUCUUUUAUAUGGGAAUAAAAUGUUCCACGUGUGGGAUUUUGUAUGUACCAUAUGAAUAGGAACGGGUAACCCCGUGCCAGCAGCCGCGGUAAUAAGGAGGAUCCGAGCGUUAUCCGGAUUUAUUGGGUUUAAAGGGAGCGUAGGUGGAUUGUUAAGUCAGUUGUGAAAGUUUGCGGCUCAACCGUAAAAUUGCAGUUGAAACUGGCAGUCUUGAGUACAGUAGAGGUGGGCGGAAUUCGUGGUGUAGCGGUGAAAUGAUUAGAUAUCACGAAGAACUCCGAUUGCGAAGGCAGUUCACUGGACUGCAACUGACACUGAGGCUCGAAAGUGUGGGUAUCAAACAGGAUUAGAUACCCCAGUAGUC
rnacentral:rRNA from 1 species